rnacentral:lncRNA from 1 species
GAACUUAGUCUGACAGCUCAGCUUUACCUGCAUCAUGCAACUGUACAAUUAACAUAUUAAGUUUACAGUAUUAGUAGUGCAGGGCUAAGAAUGCAUGAAUAAAUAAUUCAUCUGCAUUACAUUAGUCCUAAUAAUUUAUAUUAAUUGGUCUUGCACUCACCCCUCAAGAAUAACAUUAGAAUAAUGUCAUUUUCUAAAAGCCACUCCAUGUGGUGCUUUACAGUGACUUUGGAAAAGCUGAGAGGUUGUAGCUGCGCCCCUUAGCGUCUCUAAACUAAGCACAGCCUCUCAUCGCUUAUGGAUUAUAUCGAAUACAACCUUUCACCGCAAACAGCGGACGAGGAGCCGCGUGGAGUGGGAGGUACAGUAUGGGAAAGUCAGUGAGUUAACAGGAUGUUUGUCUCGCAAGAGGCCCUCAACUUGUGUAAUCUCGCUGUGUUUUGGGCGAGUUGAAAGGUUCAUCAGAGCUCAUGCCUGUGGUAAAGAGUCGCUAUAGCAACACUCACAUUGUUCUUUGUCUUUAUCUUUUAUUUUAUUUUAUCAUUGAGAAAAUAUGAGCUUCCUUCACUGUGUGUGUGUGUGUGUGUGUGUGUGUGUGUGUGUGUGUGUGUGUGUGUGUGUGUGUGUGUGUGUGUGUGUGUGUGUUAUGAGAGAGUGACGGCUUAGCCAAGUUGACAGGCUGGCACAGGGGGCAGGCAGGACAGCGACUGAACACGCUCAGAUCUGGGGAGAGGUGUCAGUCCUGCAGGCAGCCAAGCAGAAACACACAGGAGCACUUAGGAACAGGGUCACACCUGUCAUCCCUGUCCACAAUCCCUGUUCGUCCGUCGUUACCCAGAAGCCCCGGAGAGAGCGAGGCCAGACUGAUGAACGAGCGAACACUGGCGAGCGCCCAAUGAGGCGAUCUCUGAGCCGCCUCCCACAUCCCAGCACAGACAGAAGGACAAUGAAGAAAGAAACUAAAACACCAAAUAUGUCACAUCCCGGACUUUUAGAGAUGUGAGCAGUGUUUCCCCUCCUCCACUUUUUUUUCUAUUUUGAUUUAAGAGCUGAGCCACUUUACUGGAGAUAUGGGGGGCUGGGAGAAAAUAACAAGGGCUAGCAAGAGAUUAGGCCUUCAGCCAUGUGGCUAUUACUGGAGCAGAUCCUCUAUGAUCACAUCCACUGAAACA